rnacentral:rRNA from 1 species
UACGGGGGGUGCGAGCGUUGUCCGGAAUCACUGGGCGUAAAGGGCGCGUAGGCGGCCUGUUAAGGGUGUGGUGAAAGUCCGGGGCUCAACCCCGGAUCUGCCGUGCCGACUGUCAGGCUAGAGUACUGUAGGGGCAGGCGGAAUUCCGGGUGUAGCGGUGGAAUGCGUAGAGAUCCGGAGGAAGACCGGUGGCGAAGGCGGCCUGCUGGGCAGUUACUGACACUGAGGCGCGACAGCGUGGGGAGCAAACAGG